AUGAGGCUUUGUAUCUGUGGGGGUUGUUCCAACUCCGACCUCCUGUCCGACCAUCUCCGAUUUCACAGUUUCCCCGAUCGGAGAAAGGAUGGAGCAGGCUUUCGAGCCUGGGUGCAUUUUGUACAGGUGAAGAGAAAGGACAUUUUUUUCGCCUCUGUCACCAAAUACACGUUCAUUUGCGCGGCUCACUUUAGACCAGAGGACUAUGUUUCCGGGGACAUGAUGGAGUUCAAGAUGGGUUUUCGGAGCGAGAAACGAGUGAGGCUGAAAGCCGGUGUGGUUCCCUCAAUUCAUGCUGCUCCAGCCUCAGCUUCGGGCUCAGCCACCGGCGGCAGUGAAGAUCACGGACCGGUCAGAGAUUCAACGAUUCGGAAACGUAAACGGUGCACUUCACGACCGGACGCAGUUACCGGACACCACACCAUUCAAGCCCGUUUCCACGAUGCAGGAUGCCAAACUGACCCCCCACACACCGUCUCCGUGGGUACACAGACGUGGGUUUCUCCACACGGGGUCUCGGAUGGGACACAGCCUUACAGAGAGGCAACGGUGGCUUGUCCCAGAGUGGGCCCUGAAACCAUGUCCGGUUUCCGAGAUCUCACACUGUCUCCCACCCCUAUAGGAGCCCCAGGUUUCAGUCCGAGCAAUAGACUUUGUAUGGAGAUGGAAGUGGAAGUCCCUAUAACAGAGUUCAAAGUGGAGCCCCUUGACUCAUCAUCUAACCCCGGCAACUCUGUUGUGAAAGAGGAGCCAGACAGUUUGUAUGUUCCGUAUUUGUACGACAUGAUUUAUCAGCAUAGAUUAAGAUUACUGUUGGAAAUCAAAUGCAAAAUUGUGUGGUUCUUUCUGUUGUGUUAG
rnacentral:lncRNA from 1 species